GCAGCGUGCUGGACGAUCGCUUGUGAGGUAUAGCCACAUAAGAGGAAAGUCCGGGCAGCGUAGAACGGGACAGUCGCUAACGGCGACCGGGGGCAACCCUAGGGAAAGUGCCACAGAAACGAUACCGCCUCUUCGGAGGUAAGGGUGAAAGGAGUGAGGUAAGAGCUCACAGCGACGUGCGGUGACGCACGGAGGAGGUAAACCCUGUCCGCUGCAAGGAGAUGCGCGAGUAGUAUGGGCUGUUCGUCCGCUCGUGUAUCGUCAAGAUCCGCUCGAUCAUAUAGGCAACUAUAUGGCUAGAUAGAUGAUCGUCCUCGACAGAACCCGGCUUACAGGCAGGCUGCCAAC
rnacentral:RNase_P_RNA from 1 species